GGCACGUGAGGAACUGCCAAGGAGCAAGGGGCCCCAUGGGCCAUGGGCGGGGACCCCGCCACAGGCAGGGGAGGAGAGAGCUGCCUGCUAGAAUGCACUCCAGAUCUGAGACCUCACAUUUCUCUCCAGGUCUGCAAACUCUCAACAAAUCCAACUUCUUCACCAUUUUUUCUGUUUCUUCUGCAACUCCAAUUGGAUGAUUGUUGGAGCAUCUCAAGGUGUCUUCCAUGUUCUCCCUGUUUUAUCUUUGUCUCUGUACAUUGCAUUCUGGGAAAAUGCCUCAGCACCAGGUUCCAAUUUAUCAAUGUUCUCUUCAACAGUG
rnacentral:lncRNA from 1 species